rnacentral:rRNA from 1 species
GAAUAUUGGACAAUGGGCGCAAGCCUGAUCCAGCCAUGCCGCGUGUGUGAAGAAGGCCUUCGGGUUGUAAAGCACUUUUGUACGGGAAGAAACCUUCCGGGCUAAUACCCCGGGAGAAUGACGGUACCGUAAGAAUAAGCACCGGGUAACUUCGCGCCAGCAGCCGCGGUAAUACGAAGGGUGCAAGCGUUACUCGGAAUUACUGGGCGUAAAGCGUGCUUAGGUGGUUUGUUAAGUCUGAUGUGAAAGCUCUGGGCUCAACCUGGGAAUUGCAUUGGAUACUGGCAGUCUAGAGUGCGGUAGAGGGUAGCGGAAUUCCCGGUGUAGCAGUGAAAUGCGUAGAUAUCGGGAGGAACAUCCGUGGCGAAGGCGGCUACCUGGACCAGCACUGACACUGAGGCACGAAAGCGUGGGGAGCAAACAGG